rnacentral:rRNA from 1 species
GGACCCGCACAAGUAGUGGAGCAUGUGGUUUAAUUCGAAGAUACGCGCAGAACCUUACCAACACUUGACAUGUUCGUCGCGACUUUAAGAGAUUAAAGUUUUCGGUUCGGCCGGACGAAACACAGGUGCUGCAUGGCUGUCGUCAGCUCGUGUCGUGAGAUGUUGGUUAAGUCCCGCAACGAGCGCAACCCUCACUUUUAGUUGCCAUCAUUAAGUUGGGCACUCUGAAAGAACUGCCAGUGAUAAGCGGGAGGAAGGUGUGGAUGACGUCAAGUCCUCAUGGCCCUUACGGGUUGGGCUACACACGUGCUACAAUGGCAGUGACAAUGGGUUAAUCCCAAAAAGCUGUC